AGAGUUUGAUCCUGGCUCAGGACGAACGCUGGCGGCAUGCCUAAUACAUGCAAGUCGAGCGAACAGAUGAAGUGCUUGCACUUCUGACGUUAGCGGCGAACGGGUGAGUAACACGUAAGGAAUCUACCUAUAAGCGGGGGAUAACAUUCGGAAACGGGUGCUAAUACCGCAUAAUAUCCUCUUCCGCAUGGAAGAAGAUUGAAAGACGGCUCUGCUGUCACUUAUAGAUGACCUUGCGGUGCAUUAGUUAGUUGGUGGGGUAACGGCCUACCAAGACGAUGAUGCAUAGCCGACCUGAGAGGGUGAUCGGCCACAUUGGGACUGAGACACGGCCCAAACUCCUACGGGAGGCAGCAGUAGGGAAUCUUCCGCAAUGGGCGAAAGCCUGACGGAGCAAUGCCGCGUGAGUGAAGAAGGCCUUCGGGUCGUAAAACUCUGUUAUAAGAGAAGAACAAAUUGUAGAGUAACUGCUACAGUCUUGACGGUAUCUUAUCAGAAAGCCACGGCUAACUACGUGCCAGCAGCCGCGGUAAUACGUAGGUGGCAAGCGUUGUCCGGAUUUAUUGGGCGUAAAGGGAGCGCAGGUGGUUUCUUAAGUCUGAUGUGAAAGCCCACGGCUUAACCGUGGAGGGUCAUUGGAAACUGGGAAACUUGAGUACAGAAGAGGAAUGUGGAACUCCAUGUGUAGCGGUGGAAUGCGUAGAUAUAUGGAAGAACACCAGUGGCGAAGGCGACAUUCUGGUCUGUUACUGACACUGAGGCUCGAAAGCGUGGGGAGCAAACAGGAUUAGAUACCCUGGUAGUCC
rnacentral:rRNA from 1 species